rnacentral:misc_RNA from 1 species
AAGUUGUCCAUAAUCAACCCCAAUUCAUGUCUGGUCCAGUUGAAAUGCUAUCAUCUGGGCUGGAUAUACCGUGGGUGAAAGAGAAUGUAUCUUCGUCACACUCGGUGCAAAGUUUGUGGAAAGGUGGUGGUGGAACUCUAUCUUCAUUUACAGUCCCAUCUUCUUAUGGAUCGAGUUCAAACCUCAGCCAGGGCUCACCAGCACAAACGACGGGGCUAUU